UACGUAGGGUGCGAGCGUUGUCCGGAAUUAUUGGGCGUAAAGAGCUCGUAGGCGGUUUGUCACGUCUGCUGUGAAAUCCCCAGGCUCAACCUGGGAACUGCGUCCGAUACUGGCAGGCUUGAAUCCGGGAGAGGGAUGUGGAAUUCCAGGUGUAGCGGUGAAAUGCGUAGAUAUCUGGAGGAACACCGGUGGCGAAGGCGACAUCCUGGACCGGUAUUGACGCUGAGGCGCGAAAGCUAGGGUAGCAAACGGG
rnacentral:rRNA from 1 species